rnacentral:rRNA from 1 species
AUUGAACGCUGGCGGCAGGCCUAACACAUGCAAGUCGAACGAGUGGCGGACGGGUGAGUAAUGUCUGUGAAACUGCCUGAUGGAGGGGGAUAACUACUGGACACGGUAGCUAAUACCGCAUACCCUCAGAUGUGCCCAGAUGGGAUUAGCUAGUUGGUGGUGUAACGUGGCACCCAGGCGACGAUCCCUAGCUGGUCUGAGAGGAUGACCAGCCAGACUGGAACUGAGACACGGUCAAGACUCCUACGGGAGGCAGCAGUGGGGAAUAUUGCACAAUGGGCGCAAGCCUGAUGCAGCCAUGCCGCGUGUAUGAAGAAGGCCUUCGGGUUGUAAAGUACUUUCAGCGGGGAGGCGUUACCCGCAGAAGAAGCACCGGCUAACGCCGUGCCAGCCGCCGCGGUAAUAC